GUUCAGACGAGGGACGGCGGAUACUUAGUUUCUAUGAACCCUUUUGAUACGGUGGUCAUGAGGAAGGACACUCCUAAGCUCGUGAUGCAAAUCUCGAAACAGAUCGUGGUACUACCUGAAGCCGGAUCAGCGACUGGAUUCGAAUUGUUUCAUAGAAUGGCGGGUUCGGGUAAGGAACUUGACUCAAAGAUAUGUUCGCUUAUGGCGAUGGACGAGCUUAUGGGGAAAACAGGGGAACAAGUGGCUUUCGAAGGUAUAGCGUCAGCGAUCAUACAAGGGAGGAACAAAGAGCGAGCGAACACGAGCGCAGCGCGAACUGUUGCUGCUGUUAAAACGAUGGCUAACGCUAUGAACAGCGGAAGAAGAGAUAGGAUAAUGACAGGAAUCUGGAACGUGGAGGAGAAUCCAUUGGCUUCAGCUGAGGAGGUUUUAGCUGUUUCUUUGCAGAAACUUGAAGAGAUGGUGAUCGAAGGACUAAAGAUUCAAGCUGAUAUGGUGGAGGAUGAUGCUCCUUUUGAGGUUUCCGCUGCCAAAGGCCAGCCAAAUCCACUUGAGUCGACCAUCCCGCUCGACGAGUGGCUCAAGGAGAAUCGCAAGCAGAAAACGUUGACCGUUUUUGCGACAGUGCAGCUCCGGGACCCAACAAGGAGAUAUGAGGCAGUGGGAGGGACAGUUGUCGUGGCGGUGCAGGCUGAAGAUCAGGAGGAUGGACUAAAAGUGGGAAGCUUGCACGUUGGGGGAGUGAAGAGCAAUGGGGCGGAGAAGCGAAGGUUGACUGCGGCGCAGUGGCUUGUGGAGUAUGGUAUGGGUAAGAAGGGUAAGAAGAAGAGUAAUGUUAAGAGGAAGGAGAAAGAAGAAGAAGAAGAUGAAGAAUUGUUGUGGAGCUUGUCGUCUAGAGUUAUGGCGGAUAUGUGGCUAAAAUCUAUAAGGAACCCUGAUGUGAAGUUGCACUGUUGAGGUUGAGAAUUUCACAGUACAGAAUAAGAUGCAUAUGUGUAUACAAAAGGUUAUUUUCGCUUUGUUAUUUAUAGCUAUUUGAGCAGAACUUGUCUAGUAUCUAAAUUUGAUCGUUCUUUGUCAACUGGUAAAGAGGUGGGCACUUCGGUUAUUUUCUCGGUUAGGGUUCGGUUCUAGUAUUUUUCCAACUUAAAUAAAUUAUGUUUGGUUUGGUUCGAUUCGGUUUGUGCUCGGUUCGAUUUAUCGAUUUGUAUUCGGGUUCGAUUUGUAUUCGGUUCGGUUGGAUUUAUUUUUUGGAUCAGUUUAUUUAUGUUCUUCUUAGUUAGAGUCUUCUUAGUUUAAUUUUUUUAGAGUAUUUAGGCUCUAUACACACAGAAAUUAUGGAAAUUAGGAGAAUGCCUCCGACACCGUUAAACUUUUUUUAAUACCAAAACACCCCUACACAACUUCAUCACCUAUAUCUUGUACUUUUGAUUUUCUGUCAGAGACUAGAACCUAAGACCUUAUACUACACGCCAUGCACUGGAUUUCACUAUUACUCAUAAAGACGCCAAGGGUACAUAAAUAGGCAACAAUUACAUUUAUUGGUAGUUUACCAAUUGUGUUAAAAGUCACGACCUUUCAUGUUUCUUUCUUCAUAAACUCAACAAUCUCUAUUUUUUUUUUCUCAUUUUUCUCUCUGAUACAGAGAAGCUAGAGAAUCAAAACCUUUCAUGCCUCUUUACCCUGCAUCAUCUAAGAGCAUGUUGAAAUAAUUCGAGAUUUGGAAGAAUUUCUGGCAUGUCCAUGGGGUAGGAUCUCGUUCGAAAUGCUAGUUAUCGGGAUCAAGAAGAAAGACGAGAUUCUACUUUCUCAAACUAGCGUUGCGUUGCCUGGAUUUGUGGAUGCGACUCAGCUUGUGUUUAUGGUGGCAGUUCCUCAGAUUAAAGAGGUUGUUCCACAGGUUGAACCGGUUGUGUUGAUUAAGUCAAGACUCCGAGUCAGAGUCUGAUUGCAACGAUUUUCAAGUUGACGAAGAAGACGAGCCAGAUGUUUCUAAACCAACCCCACCUCUAGCAAUAGUUUGAUAUUGCAUAAACCCAACACACGUUAAAGCCCUGGAUGAAUAAGUUAAGGUUAGUAACUGUAUAAUAACGACUAAUAUUUUUUUGUAAAUGUAAAUAAAGAUCUUACCAGCAUCAAUGUUCAAAAUUGGUUAACUACUUCUGAUGUUGGUCUUUAUGUUAGAUUAGCCGAUACCCUUAGAAUGUCAUAGUUACUAAAUGAUGUAGCGCCUAUCGUAUAUAGUUACCACUAAAUAUUUUGUUAGGUGAAGUAACAGAAAAUAGCUGUAGCAGAGAUACGCUAAUGGAUGAACGUAACAGAAAAUAGCUGUAGCAGAGAUAAUUAACCGUUAUUGUCGCUAGUUAUUUAAUUUGCUCCAUGUUGCGUGUUAAAGGCUAACAAAUGAAAGCUAUUAUGAAUGGUAACUGAUACGAAAAGUAAUUACGGCUAAUAAUUAUCAUGUGUAGUAGUCGACAAAUGUAAUGAAUUCUGCUGCACUAUCCUGCUUGUGGCCACUACUUUAAAAAGUGUAGUUGAUUUGAUUGUUUGUGUCACAUCAAUCCUGACGUUUCAGCAGCUCUCGUCACCAAUCAAGGGAAUUGACAGCCUUAGAGAAAUGGAUGAUCGGAUUGGGUACCAGGUGGGUUCGUUUGCAGAGCGUUAUCUGAGGGAUGAGCUUAACAUAUCAGAGUCAAGGCUCGUCCCGCUUGGUUCACCUGAAGCUUAUGCCAAAGCUUUAAAAGAUGGACCAAGAAAAGGAGGUGUUGCGGCAAUUGUGGACGAGCGUCCUUAUGUUGAACUCUUCCUCUCCAGCAAUUGCGCUUAUAGGAUCGUUGGUCAGGAGUUCACCAAAAGUGGCUGGGGAUUUGUAAGUCCUCCAAAAAACGCAUUUUGGUGUUUGCUGAGUAUUAUUUUUACCAUUCAGUCAAAUUACAAAUGUUUCUUUUACUUAGGCAUUUCCUAGAGACUCUCCUCUAGCAAUAGAUCUGUCAACAGCGAUCUUGGAGUUGGCAGAGAACGGGGAUCUGCAGAGGAUCCAUGAUAAGUGGCUGAUGAAGAACGCAUGCACCCUAGAGAACGCAGAACUUGAAUCAGACAGGCUUCAUCUGAAAAGCUUCUGGGGGCUGUUUCUCAUAUGUGGAGUUGCAUGUGUCCUCUCUCUCUUCCUCUACUUUGUUCAGAUCAUCCGUCAGCUCUACAAUGGAAAGCCAAGCGAGGAAGAAGAAGAUGCCAUUGGGAGAGAGAAUCAUGACUCCUCGUCCUUGCGGUCUACUCGUCUGCAGAGAUUCUUGUCGCUCAUGGAUGAGAAAGAAGACGUGUCCAAGGCGGGAAGCAAGAAGAGAAAGAUCGAUGGAUCAGUGAAUGAUAAUUCAGUAUCGAGACAUUCACGGCGACUUGACAGCUUCAAUUCGGUUAAUCCAUUAGAUUGAAAGUUUAGUUACAGAAGAUUUUUUAAGGCAUCAAAACCGUUUAUAGUGUAUCAAAAGUGUAUCCCAACUUGUGCAUUCCCUGAUUCUGUAAUCUUUUAAUCUUAUUAGGAGUUCUUCAAAACAAGUGCAUUAAAGGCAAUAUUAAAUUUUUGUAGAGUAGCUGUACCAAGUUCAAUACGGUAAAAAUAAAUGAGUAGCUACAUCGUCUGACAAACUCUCAACAACCACACACAAGCUUAUGGCUAACGAUCUGAAACGUACCGUGAAAAUUAAAUGAUGAGGGACCAGUUGUUGUCUCUUUCAGAGAAGGAGAGCUCAGGCACAAGGCCACGACAUUCUCAAACCUCAUCCAAUCCCUUCAGACAAUACCAAUAAUGAAAACCUAUCACUAAUCCACACAAAAAAAAAAAAAAAAAAAAAAAAGAUUAUUGAUUUCAUUUCCCCAAUUAAACCCUCGCCCUGCUGCUUAUCCUUCUUCGUCCAGAGACGGAAAAAAAAAACACAAAUAAAGGUAAUCUUCCUUCUACCUAGCACAACCCUCUGUGUGUGUGUGUGUUUACGGUUUGUUUAUCUCUUUUCUCUUGUUGCUAAACCACACAGAGGCUAGAAGUGGCUGCAUUCUCCGGCCUGCGAGUCAGCAGUAACGGUGGGGAAGCAUCUUUCUUUGAUGCCAUAGCUGCUCAAAUCACCCCCAAGGUGACUGAUUGGUUCAGUAACUUUAUUGUUAUGUAUGUGCAUAUAUAUGAUGAUGAUGAUGAGUUUGUGCAAUAUUAUUAGGCUGUGGGGACAUCCUCUCCUGUUAGAGGAGAGACAGUGGCAAAACUGAAGGUGGCCAUCAAUGGGUUUGGAAGGAUUGGUAGGAACUUCCUCAGGUGUUGGCACGGUCGCAAGGACUCUCCUCUCGAAGUUGUUGUGCUUAAUGACAGUGGUGGUGUCAAGAACGUAAGUUGCUUACAAUAAUUUAGCAUUUUUGAUAAUGCAAAUCUCGAAACAGAUCGUGGUACUACCUGAAGCCGGAUCAGCGACUGGAUUCGAAUUGUUUCAUAGAAUGGCGGGUUCGGGUAAGGAACUUGACUCAAAGAUAUGUUCGCUUAUGGCGAUGGACGAGCUUAUGGGGAAAACAGGGGAACAAGUGGCUUUCGAAGGUAUAGCGUCAGCGAUCAUACAAGGGAGGAACAAAGAGCGAGCGAACACGAGCGCAGCGCGAACUGUUGCUGCUGUUAAAACGAUGGCUAACGCUAUGAACAGCGGAAGAAGAGAGAGGAUAAUGACAGGAAUCUGGAACGUGGAGGAGAAUCCAUUGGCUUCAGCUGAGGAGGUUUUAGCUGUUUCUUUACAGAAACUUGAAGAGAUGGUGAUCGAAGGACUAAA
rnacentral:lncRNA from 1 species